GGCUGUCUUAAGCAUUGUGGGCUGUGUAGCAGCCAUCCUAACCCUCUAAUUGAGAGAUACUAACAUCACCCUCUGUCAAGUUUUGGCACCAGAAAUGCAUCCAGAGUUGCCAGAUGUACCUGGAGGGAAGUGGAGGAGCUGAAGUACCUUCAGUUUAGGCCCACAUAUGACCACGUAGAUCUAGGCAGAUUAAACAGCCCCAAUACAAGCUUCCUGUUCUCAGACUGCUGGAAUUGUGAGCCUGAUUCAGUGUCUCAAGAACUCUUUAAGACUAGUAUACAACUUCCCAGUGGGCAAGCUUCUAAGGCACUGUAUUGA
rnacentral:lncRNA from 1 species